CGUGUAGGCGGUUUGGCAAGUCAGAUGUGAAAGCCCCGGGCUCAACCUGGGAAGUGCAUUUGAAACUGCUAUGCUUGAGUAUGGGAGAGGAGAGUGGAAUUCCCAGUGUAGAGGUGAAAUUCGUAGAUAUUGGGAGGAACACCCGUGGCGAAGGCGACUCUCUGGACCAAUACUGACGCUGAGACGCGAAAGCGUGGGGAGCAAACA
rnacentral:rRNA from 1 species